UACAGAGGGGGCAAGCGUUGUUCGGAAUUACUGGGCGUAAAGGGCGCGUAGGCGGCCUUCUAAGUCGAACGUGAAAUCCCUGGGCUCAACCCAGGAACUGCGUCCGAUACUGGAAGGCUUGAAUCCGGGAGAGGGAUGCGGAAUUCCAGGUGUAGCGGUGAAAUGCGUAGAUAUCUGGAGGAACACCGGCGGCGAAGGCGGCCCUCUGGACCGUUGCUGACGCUGAGACGCGAAAGCUAGGGGAGCAAACGGG
rnacentral:rRNA from 1 species